AGAACUCUCUCCAUCAAUCUCUCUACAGACAGAGAACUCUCUCCAUCAAUCUCUCUACAGACAGUGAACUCUCUCCAUCAAUCUCACUACAGACAGAGAACUCUCUCCAUCAAUCUCACUACAGACAGAGAACUCUCUCCAUCAAUCUCACUACAGAUAGAGAACUCUCUCCAUCAAUCUCACUACAGACAGAGAACUCUCUCCAUCAAUCUCUCUACAGAUAGAGAACUCUCUCCAUCAAUCUCUCUACAGACAGAGAACUCUCUCCAUCAAUCUCUCUACAGACAGAGAACUCUCUCCAUCAAUCUCUCUACAGACAGAGAACUCUCUCCAUCAAUCUCUCUACAGACAGAGAACUCUCUCCAUCAAUCUCACUACAGACAGAGAACUCUCUCCAUCAAUCUCUCUACAGACAGAGAACUCUCUCCAUCAAUCUCUCUACAGACAGAGAACUCUCUCCAUCAAUCUCACUACAGACAGAGAACUCUCUCCAUCAAUCUCUCUACAGACAGAGAACUCUCUCCAUCAAUCUCACUACAGACAGAGAACUCUCUCCAUCAAUCUCACUACAGACAGAGAACUCUCUCCAUCAAUCUCACUACAGACAGAGAACUCUCUCCAUCAAUCUCUCUACAGACAGAGAACUCUCUCCAUCAAUCUCACUACAGACAGAGAACUCUCUCCAUCAAUCUCUCUACAGACAGAGAACUCUCUCCAUCAAUCUCUCUACAGACAGAGAACUCUCUCCAUCAAUCUCACUACAGACAGAGAACUCUCUCCAUCAAUCUCACUACAGACAGAGAACUCUCUCCAUCAAUCUCACUACAGACAGAGAACUCUCUCCAUCAAUCUCACUACAGACAGAGAACUCUCUCCAUCAAUCUCUCUACAGACAGAGAACUCUCUCCAUCAAUCUCUCUACAGACAGAGAACUCUCUCCAUCAAUCUCUCUACAGACAGAGAACUCUCUCCAUCAAUCUCUCUACAGACAGAGAAGUCUCUCCAUCAAUCUCUCUACAGACAGAGAAGUCUCUCCAUCAAUCUCUCUACAGACAGAGAACUCUCUCCAUCAGGCACAAUCACAACAGUGGGUUUAUUUUUAGGCCCAGCCAGUGUUAUUCCAGGUAA
rnacentral:lncRNA from 1 species